rnacentral:rRNA from 1 species
UGGGGAAUAUUGCACAAUGGGGGAAACCCUGAUGCAGCGACGCCGCGUGAGUGAUGAAGUAUUUCGGUAUGUAAAACUCUAUCAGCAGGGAAGAUAAUGACGGUACCUGACUAAGAAGCACCGGCUAAAUACGUGCCAGCAGCCGCGGUAAUACGUAUGGUGCAAGCGUUAUCCGGAUUUACUGGGUGUAAAGGGUGCGUAGGUGGUAGUGCAAGUCAGAAGUGAAAACCCAAGGCUUAACCAUGGGAUUGCUUUUGAAACUGCAUAACUAGAGUGCUGGAGAGGUAAGUGGAAUUCCUAGUGUAGCGGUGAAAUGCGUAGAUAUUAGGAGGAACACCGGUGGCGAAGGCGGCUUACUGGACAGUAACUGACACUGAGGCUCGAAAGUGUGGGGAGCAAACAGGAUUAGAUACCCUGGUAGUCCACACUGUAAACGAUGAUAGCUAGGUGUGGGGGGUCUGACCCCUUCCGUGCCGGAGUUAACGCAAUAAGUAUUCCACCUGGGGAGUACGAUCGCAAGGUUGAAACUCAAAGGAAUUGACGGGGGCCCGCACAAGCGGUGGAUUAUGUGGUUUAAUUCGAAGCAACGCGAAGAACCUUACCAGGGUUUGACAUCCUGCUAACGAAGUAGAGAUACAUUAGGUGCCCUUCGGGGAAAGCAGAGACAGGUGGUGCAUGGUUGUCGUCAGCUCGUGUCGUGAGAUGUUGGGUUAAGUCCCGCAACGAGCGCAACCCCUAUUGUUAGUUGCUACGCAAGAGCACUCUAGCGAGACUGCCGUUGACAAAACGGAGGAAGGUGGGGACGACGUCAAAUCAUCAUGCCCCUUAUAUCCUGGGCUACACACGUAAUACAAUGGCGGUCAACAGAGGGAUGCAAAGCCGCGAGGCAGAGCGAACCCCUAAAAGCCGUCCCAGUUCGGAUCGUGGGCUGCAACCCGCCCACGUGAAGUCGGAAUCGCUAGUAAUCGCGGAUCAGCAUGCCGCGGUGAAUACGUUCCC